rnacentral:lncRNA from 1 species
GGGGAACGCGCGCGGCCCUCGCAGGGCCGGCAGCCCUGAUCACAAGCCUCGCCAGCUUUGACCAGCGCCCGCAGGCUGCAUCGGAAGCAUCUGGAGAAAUAUUUGAUGGAACACCCCGUAAUUAGAUGGACUGGCUUAAUUAGGAGAAGUUUGCGGGCAGAGGGAAGCCGGGGGGUCUGUGCUGGGAUCUGAAGGUUUGCAGCCUCGUCCCAGGAGGCCCGGGGCACAAAGCUCUGCCCGCUGAGCGCGCACGCGCUGCUGUGUCUGCACAUCCAAGGCGGCCCCGUGGGGUCUGCGAAUCCAAGCUGGGGGCCAGGGGCCUGCCCCCCGGCAACAGCAUUGCCAAAACGACAGCAGCCACGCUGCAUCAUCCGAUGCCCCCACCGCGCGUGUAGUCUAACAAGGCGGACAGGAUGAAAACUCGAUGCAGUCGCCCUGUGGAAGCUGGCUGUGGGAGGCAUUUUUCUGAGACUGGGAAGAGGAUUCUAGGUAUUGUGGCUUGAGCACGCACAAUAUGAGGGAAGAAUCGGACGGAACGUUUCCACCAUCUGGAACCACAGCAGCCAGAAGCAGAAAGGAGA